UUUGACCUCAAAUCAGGUAGGGUUACCCGCUGAACUUAAGCAUAUCAAUAAGCGGAGGAAAAGAAACUAACAAGGAUUCCCCUAGUAACUGCGAGUGAAGCGGGAAAAGCUCAAAUUUAAAAUCUGGCGGUCUUUGGCUGUCCGAGUUGUAGUCUGGAGAAGUGCUUUCCGCGCUGGACCGUGUACAAGUCUCUUGGAACAGAGCGUCAUAGAGGGUGAGAAUCCCGUCUUUGACACGGACUACCAGUGCUUUGUGAUGCGCUCUCAAAGAGUCGAGUUGUUUGGGAAUGCAGCUCAAAAUGGGUGGUAAAUUCCAUCUAAAGCUAAAUAUUGGCGAGAGACCGAUAGCGAACAAGUACCGUGAGGGAAAGAUGAAAAGCACUUUGGAAAGAGAGUUAAACAGUACGUGAAAUUGCUGAAAGGGAAACGCUUGAAGUCAGUCGCGUUGAUCAGGACUCAGCCUUGCUUUUGCUUGGUGCAUUUUCUGGUUGACGGGCCAGCAUCGAUUUUGAUUGCCGGAAAAAGGCUGGAGGAAUGUGGCACCUUCGGGUGUGUUAUAGCCUUCAGUCACAUACGGCGGUUGGGAUCGAGGACCGCAGCACGCCUUUAUGGCCGGGGUUCGCCCACGUUCGUGCUUAGGAUGCUGGCGUAAUGGCUUUAAACGACCCGUCUUGAAACACGGACCAAGGAGUCUAACAUGCCUGCGAGUGUUUGGGUGGUAAACCCGAGCGCGUAAUGAAAGUGAAAGUUGAGAUCCUUGUCAUGGGGAGCAUCGACGCCCGGACCUGAACUUCGGUGAUGGCUCUGCGGUAGAGCAUGUAUGUUGGGACCCGAAAGAUGGUGAACUAUGCCUGAAUAGGGUGAAGCCAGAGGAAACUCUGGUGGAGGCUCGUAGCGAUUCUGACGUGCAAAUCGAUCGUCAAAUUUGGGUAUAGGGGCGAAAGACUAAUCGAACCAUCUAGUAGCUGGUUCCUGCCGAAGUUUCCCUCAGGAUAGCAGAAACUCGUAUCAGAUUUAUGUGGUAAAGCGAAUGAUUAGAGGCCUUGGGGUUGAAACAACCUUAACCUAUUCUCAAACUUUAAAUAUGUAAGA
rnacentral:rRNA from 1 species